AGUGAACGCUGGCGGUAGGCCUAACACAUGCAAGUGGAACGGCAGCACAGUAAGAGCUUGCUCUUACGGGUGGCGAGUGGCGGACGGGUGAGGAAUACAUCGGAAUCUACUUUUUCGUGGGGGAUAACGUAGGGAAACUUACGCUAAUACCGCAUACGACCUACGGGUGAAAGCAGGGGAUCUUCGGACCUUGCGCGAUUGAAUGAGCCGAUGUCGGAUUAGCUAGUUGGCGGGGUAAAGGCCCACCAAGGCGACGAUCCGUAGCUGGUCUGAGAGGAUGAUCAGCCACACUGGAACUGAGACACGGUCCAGACUCCUACGGGAGGCAGCAGUGGGGAAUAUUGGACAAUGGGCGAAAGCAUGAUCCAGCCAUACCGCGUGGGUGAAGAAGGCCUUCGGGUUGUAAAGCCCUUUUGUUGGGAAAGAAAAGCAGCAGGUUAAUACCCCGCUGUUCUGACGGUACCCAAAGAAUAAGCACCGGCUAACUUCGUG
rnacentral:rRNA from 1 species